GUGGAAGGGGGGACCUCUCUGUUCGCAUCUCCUCUCGCGACUUCUCACUGAGCUAGGGCUCGUGCAGCCACUCCUUCGUCUCCUCCUCCUUCACCAACAGCUGGCGGCCACCUUUGCUUAUCCAUCGCCGCUAGCCAGAGCUUGUCCCUCCAUCAUCUGUGAUUUCCAUUUCCCUUCCCUACUCGGAUUUCUUCUCAGACGACGAAGUUGGCGGUGAAGAUAUCGAUAGCAGCUGGCGUUCUACCUCCGACCAUCUGGAAAUCUCACCGGAGGGGUUCUCCGGUGCGUAUUUUUCUUACACUCCCGAACCUCCACAACUCCUCCCCUGCUAGAAAUGGUGAAGAAGGCAGCGGGAUUCAUCUUCAUCUCAUCGGGAAGAUGUUUUUAUGCAAAGACUCUAUCCGAGUGGUUCUUGGGUGGAGGAUUCGCAUUAUCAAGUGGAAACUCUAGUUCUCGUCGGUUCUUCAUAGCCAACUAUCGAAGCUUGGAGUUCAUUCUUCGGCCUUCUUGUGUGACAGCAGGGGAGGAUAGAAGAGAAGAAGCUUGCACCCACUUCCUUCAUCCGAUCAGUUCAUCAUCCGUUCUUCCAACAGAGUAGCCCACAUUCGAACUCCAUCACAGCUAUACAAAGCAAGCUCGGUUCAUUUUAGUUUGAUAUGUGAUUUGAUGAUCUACUUUGUUGAUGUUUGAUUGUUUGCUUGUGUUCAUGUUUUAGUGCUGGUAUGAAUUCAUUAUUGGUUGAAUUGUAAUUGACUUGAAUUCUCCCAUAUUUUAGUGCACGUACUAAUGCUAUUUUGAUUCAUGCUCGUGAAGUGUUCGACAAAAUGUUUCUUCCAACAGUAGGUUUAAAUUUGUGCGCGCACUUUAUUUCACUUAAUGUUUGCUUGUCUUGUCUUUUGCAAUUGCUAUAAGUUUUGUUCUUCGUUUGAAUGCAAUUAGGCUAGGGUAGAUUAGCUUUCUUUAAUACUCUAAGUUACAUUCCAUGCUUAGUUUCAUUAUUUGUUUACUCUAUGUUGUCUUUAAUUUCCUUGCAAUCAUAGUUUAAGUUAGACUAGGUUUUCUUAUUUGCAUCGUCUUUCAUUUACUAGGUUAGGUUCAUUUAAUGUUUUUCUAUUUCAUUCCUUAGAUUAAUUCCGUUAAUGGUGAAAUCAUAGCAUAGAGUGACAAUGCACUAUGAGAUCACUACUAAUGGAUAGAUAGGAUGUCUUUCAUUAAUUAGGAUUAGAUUUCAUACUUGCUUUGCUCUUUUUUUUCUUAGGUUUAAUUUCAUACUUGUUUUGUUAUUUCAUAUCGUAGUUCAAAAUUCAAAACCCAAAACCCCAGUUUCAUAUAAAAAUCAAAAAACCAUAACUAAUCCUGAAGUUAUCACUCUAUCGUUACAUUCUUUGGGAGACGACCCGAAUCAUCUCUAUAUUACUUUAGUGUAGAGGGGUUUAGUAAACUUUAAUUGUAAUUUGAUAAGCUCCCGUAGCACGACACUCGAGCUCACAUUAAAUUUUGGCGACAUCGCCGGGGAUAUUAUAGUGGUGUUUGAUAAUUUUAGGAUUGCUUUCUUAUUUUUCUACAAAAAUUUCUAAAAAAAAAUUGUUAAAUGCUUUAAUGUUCAUAGAUUCAUGUGUUUGAUAUCAUAUACUCCUGUGUCUUCUAAUCUUGUCUGUUAGUGUUUCAGUGUAAGACCAGGACAAUUCUUUCAGUUCAACUUGGAUCUUUAUUCUCAGCAAUUUGGAAGCUGCAAUGAAUAUCACAAUUUGGAUACUGGGCAAGUGAGACACAUAUGUACUAAUUGUGGCAGUCCUUCUCAUCCAGUUGCUAUAUGUCAUCUCAUUCAAAAGACUGCUAGAUUUCCUAUGGAACCCCAGUAUUUCCAACAUCAAUAUCAACAGGCAUAUGAUCUAGCUCCUAGUACCUAUACUCAUGACUAGGGUAAUUAUUCGACUCAGUACUUUCAACCCCAGAUUCCAGAGCAGCAUGGAUACUUCCAAUCCCAAUGCUAUCAACCCCAACUAAUUCUUGAACAAUAUGGAAAUACAUGGCAACAUGCUAUUGAUCAUCCUCAGUGUUACAAUUCAGACUGGAUGGACCAUCCAAAUUUUAUGCACGGGAACACGCAGCAACAAUUGAAUCAAUCUUUUUCAGCAUAUCAGAUGCCACAAGGAUUUCAGGAUGAUUCUAUGCCCACAUGGUCACAUUCGGUCCAGCAGAUUGAACCAGCUCCUUGGGGGACAUUUCAAGAAAGCACUGAAGAAGUUCAUGCCCCUAAUCAAUCAAUAUUUCAAGAUUUGAAGGAUGUAAUGUAGCAGAUGCAGCAACAAUAAGAGGCAUAUAUUCAGUCUCAACAAAGAAAUGAAGCAUCACUACAAAAUUGUCAGAUGUAUCUAGAUCAAAUUGCAGUAUCCAUCAGCCAGCGACAAGCACAACUAUCUAGUGAAGAGAUGGAUUAUAGAGCUUGUGACAACUUUGAUUCUAAUCCUAAAGCUCUACAGGACUCCUCUAAUUUUGUGUGUUGUGAUGAUAUAGUUGUAGUUGAUCCUAACUCUAAUGAUAAUAUUGUUGUUGUAGAUACUGUUGAUGCAGGUGUUGUUGGUGAUAUUGAGGAGCUAGCUGAGCCUGAUUAUACAUUUGUUGAUAAGGAAAGUGUAGGGGAUUGCAAAUUGGAAGAAAUGCCUCAAGAAUCACCUAUUUUUAUUGGACCAUCACUUGAACCAGAUGUGGAUGAUGAGAGUGUAGGGACUUGUGCUAUGGAGGCAGAGCCCCAAGAAUAACUUAUUUUUGAUGCACCACCAGAGUCUGAGCUAUUACUUGAUGAAGAGGAGGUCACAUCCACUGUUCUAGAACCUCCAAGUACAUUUCAGUACAGUAAGCUCUUCCUUACCCCACAUGCGUGUGGAAGGUGCAUUCUAUCCUUGGCCUUGCAAGUUUUUACAGGCCCUUGGAUUGGAUACUUUUACUAAACCACCUCCAGCCGGCAGGAACUAAAGAGAAAAUGGUGGAAGAAGCAAUUCUCUCCUUAGCUCGGAUCACUCCAUUUCCGGGUUGGAUGCUCAAAUUGAAUCUUCUUCAACCACCGGGAUGGAUUGUUUAUCAAGUUGUUCCCUUUCCUACAUGGAUUCUACUUCUAAACCUUCUUCAACCACCAGGAAUAAAGGGGAGUUCGUUCCUUUUCCUUCCUUUUCUUGCUUUCCUUUAUCUUUAUACUUGCAUGUUUGUUUGUAAACAUGCUUGGCUUUCAUACUUUGUGUUUUUGUUUUGCAUUUUGUUUGGUCUUGUUUAUACCUUGCUUGAUUUUGAGUCAUAUCUCCCUAGAUGUCCCUUUAUAAUGCUUUGAGAAUCGAAAAAAGAUAGUUAAGUUUGACUAUCAAGUUUUGGUUUCUUUGGUAUGGUUGGGUACAUUAAUUGCAUUAGUCAUUUGUUGUGGUGAUGGACUCUAUCUUGUCAGAUUAUGCAUGAUAUUUUGUUAUUCACCUAGUGAGGUUUUUUCCACACUUAUCCUUAAUCCUCUUGUGUGUGGUAGCACUUGUGAUACUUGACACUCUAGAACUUGCUUUGAUUCUUUUUGAAAUUAUAGUAACAUAAGCUUGCAUGAAUAUGAUAGAGGUAAAUUUUCUUAUUCAUCUCUUAGUUGUUCCUAUACUUUGUUGUUCUUACUAGUAAGCAUUUCACAUAUUGCUUUCAUGUUUCAUUGUACUUCCUUUUUCAUAUCUUCUCAUUGGCAUUAUAUUUUCAUUAUCAUUAUCAUUGUACUUCCCUUGUCAUAUCUUCUCAUUGUCGUUAUAUUUUCACUAACAUAUCUUUAUCGAUUCAUUCUUUCCUUGGUCAUGUGAUGAGAGCGUUGGGUGAUUGCAUGAAGAGUUACAUUUUCUUUGGCAUAUCUUUAUUGUUUUUUUUAGCCCCCUAUUGUUGAGUUUUAGAGAAUAUCAUUAUUUGUUAUAUUGUCCGAGACAGACAAGUUUAAGUGUGGGGGAGGCAAAUAUGUAUGGGCGAAUGCUUGUUGAAAAAAAAAUCUCUCUAUGCUUGUUGAAAAAAAAAAGAAAAGAAAAAAAUAAAGAAAAGAAAAUAACAAAGAAGGAAAAAAAAGUUGAAAAAAGUAUAAAAAGAGAGGAAAAAAAAAGUUCUCAAGCAUUUGUUAUUUUGUUAGUAAUGAACAAGAAGAAAUAUCUCCAUGGAAAGAUUGAUGUAUAUCCAUUUAACAUUAUUAUUGAGAGAUUCUCAUGAGUUAAGUUGUUAAUACAUAUAUGCAUUUUGGAGAUGUUAUAGUGGUUGAUGUAUAUCACAUUGAGAAUGUGCAAGGAGAGUUGAGUGUUGGAUGUUUGAGUGAGUUUUUAGCAUAUUAUUUGAUUGUAUUCUUCAUGUUGAUUACCCCAAUGCUGUCAUAUUCUCUUUGAAUUCCUUUGUUGUCUAUCCUUCUUGUUCUAUUGUUUACAUUUGUGGUUUUAUUAUUAUUCAUGACAAGUCCUCUUGAUUUGUGCGCACUUAUGUUUACAUUAGUGGAGAAGUAGAAAAUAAGCAAGCAUAUGGUAGUGCAAUGUCAUGAGUUGCUUUAGAGAGAGCUCCACUUUCAUGUCUAUAUUUAUGUGAGCAUUAGUGUAUAUAUUGUCCUUAUGAGGUUUUAUCAUGCUUAGUCUAUUCAAGUUGAUUGAAAUUACCAUGCUUGUUGACUUUUGUGAGAAUUGGAACCAUGAAUACCUUGAUUCUUAAAACUUGAUGAUCCUAAGUAACUUUCUUUUACUAAUUUCAAAGUAUUGUUAGGGAAUUGAUAGGGAGAUAAGUUUUUGGUUGCUUCCUAGUUUUAUUUCAUUUGCCCGAGACGUGCAAGAAUAAGUGUGGGGGAAUUGAUAAUUAGCAUUUUUAUGUAAUAUUUUAACUCUCAUACUUAGCAUUUUUAUCCUCUCAUUCACUUAAAUCUUGCUUAAUAUUAUGAUUCAUGAGUUGAGAUAUAUUUAUGAGCUUUUUAUGCUCUUUCCCUAAUUUUGCUAUUAUUUCAUGAUUUUUGUAGGGAAUUAAAGAGGAGCCAUAGACAUGAGUGGAGUCAAAUUAAUUGGACCCAAUGUUAAGGUUGAGCAUGAGCUAAUUUGAAGAGCUUGACUCAUUUCAUUCCAAUUUGGAUCAAUAAAGAAGUAGAGCUCCACUCUUCAAGCUCAAUCACAAAAGCCCAACUCAUCCAAUUUGGAGCCCAAUUUUGAACCCUAUUCUUAAUGCAUCAGGAUUCCAUUCCUAAUGGAUCUAUUUUCUCCAUCCAAAUCUGACCCGUUAAGAAACCUCUCCCUAUACUCACGCGACGGCACAGUGGAAGGGGGACCUCUCUGUUCGCAUCUCCUCUCGCGACUUCUCACUGAGCUAGGACUCAUGCAGCCACUCCUUCGUCUCCUCCUCCUUCACCAACAGUCGACGACCACCUCUGCUCAUCCAUCGUCGUCAGCCGAAGCUUGUCCCUCCAUCAUGUAUGAUUUCCAUUUCCCUUCCCUACUCGAACUUCUUCUCAGACGACAAAGUUGGUGGUGAAGAUAUCGAUAGCAGCUGGCGUUCUACCUUCGACCAUAUGGAAAUCUCACCAGAGGGGUUCUCCGGUGUGUAUUUUUCUUACACUCCCAAACCUCCACAACUCCUCCCCUGCUGGAAACAGUGAAGAAGGAAGCGGGAUUCAUCUUCAUCUCAUCAAGAAGAGGUUUUUAUGCAAAGACUCCAUCCGAGUGGUUCUUGGGUGGAGGAUUCACAUUAUCAAGUGGAAACUCCAGUUCUCGUCGGUUCUUCAUAGCCAACUACCGAAGCUUGGAGUUCAUUCUUUGGCCUUCUUGUGUGACAACAGGGGAGGAUAGAAGAGAAGAAGAUUGCACCCACUUCCUUCAUCCGAUCAGUUCAUCAUCCGUUCUUCCAACAGAGUAGCCCACAUUCGAACUCCAUCACAGCUAUACAAAGCAAGCUUGGUUCAUUUUAGUUUGAUAUGUGAUUUGAUGAUCUACUUUGUUGAUGUUUGAUUGUUUGAUUGUGUUCAUGUUUUAGUGCUGGUAUGAAUUCAUUAUUGGUUGAAUUGUAAUUGACUUGAAUUCUCCCA